CCUGAAUCAGUGUGUGUGUUAGUGGAAGCGUCUGGAAAGGCGCGCGAUACAGGGUGACAGCCCCGUACACAAAAAUGCACAUACUGUGAGCUCGAUGAGUAGGGCGGGACACGUGGUAUCCUGUCUGAAUAUGGGGGGACCAUCCUCCAAGGCUAAAUACUCCUGACUGACCGAUAGUGAACCAGUACCGUGAGGGAAAGGCGAAAAGAACCCCGGCGAGGGGAGUGAAAAAGAACCUGAAACCGUGUACGUACAAGCAGUGGGAGCCUCUUAAUGGGGUGACUGCGUACCUUUUGUAUAAUGGGUCAGCGACUUAUAUUCUGUAGCAAGGUUAACCGAAUAGGGGAGCCGAAGGGAAACCGAGUCUUAACUGGGCGUUAAGUUGCAGGGUAUAGACCCGAAACCCGGUGAUCUAGCCAUGGGCAGGUUGAAGGUUGGGUAACACUAACUGGAGGACCGAACCGACUAAUGUUGAAAAAUUAGCGGAUGACUUGUGGCUGGGGGUGAAAGGCCAAUCAAACCGGGAGAUAGCUGGUUCUCCCCGAAAGCUAUUUAGGUAGCGCCUCGUGAAUUCAUCUCCGGGGGUAGAGCACUGUUUCGGCAAGGGGGUCAUCCCGACUUACCAACCCGAUGCAAACUGCGAAUACCGGAGAAUGUUAUCACGGGAGACACACGGCGGGUGCUAACGUCCGUCGUGAAGAGGGAAACAACCCAGACCGCCAGCUAAGGUCCCAAAGUCAUGGUUAAGUGGGAAACGAUGUGGGAAGGCCCAGACAGCCAGGAUGUUGGCUUAGAAGCAGCCAUCAUUUAAAGAAAGCGUAAUAGCUCACUGGUCGAGUCGGCCUGCGCGGAAGAUGUAACGGGGCUAAACCAUGCACCGAAGCUGCGGCAGCGACACUAUGUGUUGUUGGGUAGGGGAGCGUUCUGUAAGCCUGUGAAGGUGUACUGUGAGGUAUGCUGGAGGUAUCAGAAGUGCGAAUGCUGACAUAAGUAACGAUAAAGCGGGUGAAAAGCCCGCUCGCCGGAAGACCAAGGGUUCCUGUCCAACGUUAAUCGGGGCAGGGUGAGUCGACCCCUAAGGCGAGGCCGAAAGGCGUAGUCGAUGGGAAACAGGUUAAUAUUCCUGUACUUGGUGUUACUGCGAAGGGGGGACGGAGAAGGCUAUGUUGGCCGGGCGACGGUUGUCCCGGUUUAAGCGUGUAGGCUGGUUUUCCAGGCAAAUCCGGAAAAUCAAGGCUGAGGCGUGAUGACGAGGCACUACGGUGCUGAAGCAACAAAUGCCCUGCUUCCAGGAAAAGCCUCUAAGCAUCAGGUAACAUCAAAUCGUACCCCAAACCGACACAGGUGGUCAGGUAGAGAAUACCAAGGCGCUUGAGAGAACUCGGGUGAAGGAACUAGGCAAAAUGGUGCCGUAACUUCGGGAGAAGGCACGCUGAUAUGUAGGUGAAGUCCCUUGCGGAUGGAGCUGAAAUCAGUCGAAGAUACCAGCUGGCUGCAACUGUUUAUUAAAAACACAGCACUGUGCAAACACGAAAGUGGACGUAUACGGUGUGACGCCUGCCCGGUGCCGGAAGGUUAAUUGAUGGGGUUAGCGGUAACGCGAAGCUCUUGAUCGAAGCCCCGGUAAACGGCGGCCGUAACUAUAACGGUCCUAAGGUAGCGAAAUUCCUUGUCGGGUAAGUUCCGACCUGCACGAAUGGCGUAAUGAUGGCCAGGCUGUCUCCACCCGAGACUCAGUGAAAUUGAACUCGCUGUGAAGAUGCAGUGUACCCGCGGCAAGACGGAAAGACCCCGUGAACCUUUACUAUAGCUUGACACUGAACAUUGAGCCUUGAUGUGUAGGAUAGGUGGGAGGCUUUGAAGUGUGGACGCCAGUCUGCAUGGAGCCGGCCUUGAAAUACCACCCUUUAAUGUUUGAUGUUCUAACGUUGGCCCCUGAUCGGGGUUGCGGACAGUGUCUGGUGGGUAGUUUGACUGGGGCGGUCUCCUCCUAAAGAGUAACGGAGGAGCACGAAGGUUGGCUAAUCCUGGUCGGACAUCAGGAGGUUAGUGCAAUGGCAUAAGCCAGCUUGACUGCGAGCGUGACGGCGCGAGCAGGUGCGAAAGCAGGUCAUAGUGAUCCGGUGGUUCUGAAUGGAAGGGCCAUCGCUCAACGGAUAAAAGGUACUCCGGGGAUAACAGGCUGAUACCGCCCAAGAGUUCAUAUCGACGGCGGUGUUUGGCACCUCGAUGUCGGCUCAUCACAUCCUGGGGCUGAAGUAGGUCCCAAGGGUAUGGCUGUUCGCCAUUUAAAGUGGUACGCGAGCUGGGUUUAGAACGUCGUGAGACAGUUCGGUCCCUAUCUGCCGUGGGCGCUGGAGAACUGAGGGGGGCUGCUCCUAGUACGAGAGGACCGGAGUGGACGCAUCACUGGUGUUCGGGUUGUCAUGCCAAUGGCACUGCCCGGUAGCUAAAUGCGGAAGAGAUAAGUGCUGAAAGCAUCUAAGCACGAAACUUGCCCC
rnacentral:rRNA from 1 species